UGAUCCCACUAAAAAAUCGCCCCACCAGUCAGCGGCUUCUAACGUAGCGAGGCAGCGCUCACUCCUCUCUGCUCUCGGCCGGUCUCCCUCUCCGCCUGCGUAAUGUGCGCACGAAGAAACCCGUAAAGUGUUAAAUGUUUGAAAUACAAAACCGCCGAAUUUCACAUGCUGAGAAAGGACUUCGCUACUCGUGCGCGCGGCACUGCUGUGUCUGUGCACUAGACUCCGCAAAGAAAAACUCCUCACACGCCUGCAAGUCCGCGGCUGCAAAAGGGACGCAGAAAAGCUCAUUUUUCAGUUUCAAGGCAAACGCUUAAAAAUCAAACUGGCUCACGUUCUUCCCAACCAGCCCAGUUUGACAGCUGCUCUUCACCCCGUUUGGAGGACUGUCAGCAGCAAGAGGAUGGCAUCAGAGCUGGCAAUGAGCAACUCCGACCUGCCCACCAGUCCCCUGGCCAUGGAAUAUGUUAAUGACUUCGAUCUGAUGAAGUUUGAAGUGAAAAAGGAGCCGGUGGAGCCCGAUCGCAACAUCAGCCAGUGCAGUCGCCUUAUCGCCGGGGGAUCCUUGUCUUCCACCCCGAUGAGCACGCCUUGCAGCUCGGUGCCCCCUUCCCCAAGCUUCUCGGCGCCCAGUCCGGGCUCGGGGAGCGAGCAGAAGACACACAUAGAGGAUUUCUACUGGAUGUCCGGUUACCAACAGCAGUUGAAUCCAGAGGCGCUGGGCUUCAGCCCCGAAGACGCAGUCGAGGCGCUGAUCAACAGCAGUCACCAGCUCCAGUCCUUCGAUGGCUAUGCCAGGGGCCAGCAGUUCGCUGGCGCAGCCGGAGCAGGAGGCACCAUGGCCGGGGAGGAGAUGGGCUCCGCCGCGGCGGUGGUGUCGGCAGUCAUCGCUGCGGCAGCCGCUCAGAACGGAGGGCAGCACCACCACCACCACCACCACCACCACAGCAGCGGCCACCACCAGGCGCCCGGCGUCCAGUCCAACGGCACUUCUGGGACAAAUCACCCACACAUGCGCUUGGAUGAGCGGUUUUCAGACGAGCAGCUGGUGACCAUGUCGGUGCGGGAACUCAACCGGCAGCUACGGGGGGUCAGCAAGGAAGAAGUGAUCAGAUUGAAACAGAAGAGGAGGACCCUAAAGAACAGAGGCUACGCGCAGUCCUGCCGGUUCAAGCGGGUCCAGCAGCGGCACGUCCUGGAGGGAGAGAAGACGCAACUCCUGCAGCAGGUCGAGCACCUAAAGCAGGAGAUCUCCAGGCUGGUCCGGGAGAGGGACGCGUACAAAGAAAAGUAUGAGAAGCUCAUCAGCAACGGCUUCAGAGAAAAUGGAUCCAGCAGUGACAACAACCCUUCAUCCCCGGAGUUUUUCAUGUCAUCAAGAAAAUUCCUCCAUCUGUGAUUUCAAGCUCCAUUCUUCUGUGCCCUUGGAUCCUGGAGAAAUGACUGAUAGUAAAUGGCUUCCAAGAGGGUGCUGCAGAGUGAGGGGAUAACCCAACAACUGAGCAGUGAUGACAUCAGAGCGGCUGACCAAUCACACCAAGACACCUACAAAGCACAACAUUCAAAAUGACUUCACUGAAGAACAACAGACAAGACCCACUAGAAUCCCUCAAAAUCCCUACAGUGAAAUUCUUGAAAGUCUCUUACUACUCCAGUUUCCCUCCCUGAUAUUUUACCUCCAGCUUUUUUCUACAAAACAUGAAAAAAACAAACAAACAAACAAAAAAAUGUGGACAAAUUCAUAAUCAUGAGAUGGUCGACGACGCCACAUAAAUACACUGGAAGGACUAUUUUCUCUUCGGUGGGAAGAUCACCGAUGCAUGCUUCUGUAAAUAGAUCAUAGUAAAAUUUAUUGUUAUUCCUAGUAUAGGAAACAUACCAAGUCACUCUCACCAAAUUCAUAAACCUUCAUUACGGUGGAUAGAGUACUUAUGGUUCGAUAUUUUCCAUAUUAAAUCAGUAUUCUUCUUACCUAUUCAGAGCCCAUGUAAUUAUCAUUUCCAAUAUCAUUUCUCUAGUCUUUAAAGUUAUUUCAACUGUAAAAAUUGUACUUCUUAUUCUUCUUAUUCUCUUUACUUAACAGCCUAGUCUUCCUCUCCAAUAUCCACACUAGUACAUGUAAAUAGAAAUGAAUGAAGACAACAGCAUGGACCAGACUAUAGUGUAUAUUUACCGCCCUGUUAGAUCACAAAUUGCAGUAUGUGGAUAUUUCAGACAACCUUUUUAAAAGUUUAAAAUACUUGAACUUCUUUUCUGAUAGACACAGUUGUAGAUAUCUGGACAUUUUUUCAUAUGUAUUUGAAUAGAUCCAUACAGGCCUUAGCUAUAGGUAACAAUUAUUAUUUGACCACCUUACGGACGAUAAAGCAGCAAUUCCUUUGGUAUUGUCAGUCAGUUCCACUGCGAACCAGUCAAACUGAAGAGGAAAAGCAGGCAAUUCACCAAAGUUACAAGCCUGACUUAGCACUUACAAGUUUUUUUUUUUUUUUUUUUACAUUUGAUAUAUUAUUUGAUGUCAUUAUUUACAAUUCUCCCCCAAUAUCUAUUUAAGUAUUAUUUCCCAUUGCAAUAAUUGCCAUUAAAUUCCCCACGUCCAUGUUGUAACUGCUGUAGCAAAGCUGCUGUCAGUCUGCGAGAGGCUCAUUUUUUUCUUUGCAUGGUUUGAAUUCCAAUCCUGAGCCUACACACAGGGGGAGGAAAGAACACCUCAUUGACUGUAAUGCAGACAUUAGGACUCUGAACCUCCGUCUUCUAUGAACUAUGAAGAAAACCAAAUGGACUGACAGAUAACAUGCCAAGCCAAUGAACAGACGACCUCAAAGAUGAACACCUCACUGGUGAAGACAGAAAACCUUUGCAUGGACAACAGGAAGAAUACUAGCUCGUUGAACACCUCAUCUCCACUAUCAUGCAUCCUCUACCUCUCAGUGUGUGCUGUACAUCGAGGAAUCCAUGUCUUUUCCGUGACCCCCUCUAAUGCCCCCACUUUUUCCCGCUGCAUGUCCCUACAGAGCCUCGUGAGGAGAGUUCACCGCUGAAUGCCACCGAUGUGUGCAUAUGGCAAUGGGGAAAACAAAACAAAUGCUCACUUUGAAACACUCACAAUACAUACUGUAUGAGCGCAUGCAUACAGAUGCACAAUCCUACACAGCGCCACUCAAAUACUUUGCUGUAUAUAUGUACAGUAUGUCCACUAUGUAUAGUCUCAGAUGCUGUACUUUGCAUGUUGACUUGUAGAUGGAACGUGACCACUAUUCAUAGAGGAGGAUGUGCAGGUGGACAGUGGGGAAACUCUAAACCAAUGCAAGCUGUUUGUCAGCUUUACACCUGUUUGCUUUGAUUUGAGAAAAUGUACAGUAACAUGACAGCAACAGUUUUAUGUCUCCCGCUCCCAUUGUGAGAGGCUGUCUUCCACUAAACAGCGGUGCUGAUGCAGUGUAAACUCUUAAAAGGGACACAUACACUCCCGUUUGAUGUCAGACAGAACCUGGCCACAGUAAGCGUAGGUAGAAGAAGAGACGAGGGAAGGCAAACUGGGGCGCUCCAAUUAAGUGGCAGCGCACAAAGUGGCAUGGGGCAUCCUGCCAGCAACUGUCUAUUCAUCCUGUGUCAAAGGGAUUUUCACGUCUCAGUGAGUCUACGCAGUGACAGAGGAGUUCAAGAGGAAAGCAGAGAAAGGAAGGUCUGGCAGUAAGGAUGGAUAGGAAAAAUUUGGACAAAAAAAAAUAUAAGGCUGUGCUGAGCUUUUGUUAGUGUAUUUUACUGGUCUGACCACCAGUGUGAUAUUUCUUUCUGGCCUCCUUGGAGAGUCCAAUAACUCUUUGACCUCAAACUGUUAAACCAUCAUGCAGCUCUCUGGGCUGUCAUGACCUCGCGUCCUGUCUGAGGUUAACUUUGUGUUAAUGAGCAUGGCCCUCAGUUCAACCAGAUGUUCAGCCUUGCGGUUAAAUACCUGUUAGCUCCUGUGAUUCUUUAAUGCCUGCCCACUCCAUCUGUACUCUUUCUGGACAACGCUACAGAAACAUCUUCACCGAGUUAAAAAUAAAUGUCAAGCAGGGAGGAACUUAAACUCAGUAGAACUGGUGUGUUUCCUUUGGAGUAAAAACAAUAAAAAUCUGAUGGAAAUAAUCAGCGCAAACCAAACAGCAAAGAAAGCAGAAUA